rnacentral:rRNA from 1 species
UACGAAGGGUGCAAGCGUUACUCGGAAUUACUGGGCGUAAAGCGUGCGUAGGUGGUGAGUUAAGUCUGGCGUGAAAGCCCCGGGCUCAACCUGGGAACGGCGCUUGGGACGGCGAGGCUGGAGUUCGGGAGAGGAGAGUGGAAUUCCCAGUGUAGAGGUGAAAUUCGUAGAUAUUGGGAAGAACACCAGUGGCGAAGGCGGCUGCUUGGGCCAGUUCUGACGCUGAGGCGCGAAAGCGUGGGGAGCGAACAGG